rnacentral:rRNA from 1 species
UACGUAGGGUGCGAGCGUUGUCCGGAAUUAUUGGGCGUAAAGAGCUUGUAGGCGGUUUGUCGCGUCUGCCGUGAAAAUCCGGGGCUCAACCCCGGACUUGCGGUGGGUACGGGCAGUCUAGAGUGUGGUAGGGGAGACUGGAAUUCCUGGUGUAGCGGUGAAAUGCGCAGAUAUCAGGAGGAACACCGAUGGCGAAGGCAGGUCUCUGGGCCACUACUGACGCUGAGAAGCGAAAGCGUGGGGAGCGAACAGG